AGAAAAAAAAAAAGGCUUUGUUCCGGUUGAUCUAUUUAAAAAUUGUUUAAACGUUCAAAGGUGCAAUCCUCCGUAGGUUUUGACUGCAGUUGUAGGCCUUCCUUCUGUUCAAAUGUGAUUGCGCUUAACAAUGCUUCUUGUCUAUAUGCGCUACAUCUAGGGUUACCCAAGGAGCCAAUUUGCUGCAUUCUGAAGGGUGUUUUUAAGGGGAUUUUUGAUCGCAGUGCUAAAACUCGGUCUCACUUUUGCCCUGCAGUAUUAUCGACAGAUUACAUUGUCGGGUUGCUCUAAGCCACAUACCCACCUACUAUGCGUGAAUAGUACGUACAGCGGUUGUUUCAAUGCUAAAAAGCUAGCUAUAAAGUUUAAACGGGAAAAGAUAGCUUUGUUAAAAAGCGCGUGAACUACUUUCUUUGUUGGCUAUCUUUGCGCCCCGAGGGAAGUUCCUUACAAUAGAUUCUUAACGAAACCCCAGAAGCUCCGGACUAUGAUAUUGCUCUCUACUUUCGCGGGUCUACGGUCGCAAUCACGGGAACUUCCGGUGAUGCUAUCGCCUACGCUACCUCGGCCAGUUGCGUGGUCUCCAUGGAGAUGGCCAUCGGCGCUAGGUGAAUGUGGAGUGCCGCAGAGGGGGUCGGAGCGGCAACCGGGUUGUGCUUGUGUAACGGUUCGGGGAUGCGCUCCUAGGAUUACAUUCGCCCUUACUUAACGCAGGAAAGGUGAGGUGCAGCGAGGGCAUUUUGAAUCCCAGGUGCGUUGGCGUGGUGAGGUAGUCCGCUGGUAAUACGGAGCCAAACCCGAAUCAUCUGCAGGGUCAGGGUUAGAUUCCCCGAGACUGGCCCUGAGUUUCUACAUUUCAGCCCUUUUCUCGAGUGUCUAUGCCCAUUUUGCCUUCGUCAUCCUCUGCCGUGUAGAUAUAGGAAGCGAAGUACUUCGUGCACUGGAAAGUGUAAUGAAAACGCGUGGUAAUAAUGACUUAUCUCUCGUCUCGUUUCCAUAAAGAAGCAAGGAGCUCCUACUCGUUUAGCCUUUUAUCAAAACACCCGCACGAUCGAUUUGCUUCGAUCUUCAGCAGUAGACAUGCCUGACAUGCCCCAGAUCUGAAAGUGGAUAAUUAUUUAACCAUGGUUUGCUUCUUUUUACCUUUAUUGUGUUGCUUUCUUUACUUCCCUAUCCGCUAGUACGGUACUUCUGCAGGUCCGCUGUCUUCACCUUAAGGAGUGAUGGCUGAUUGCAUUGAAGGAAAAUCUUGUAGUCCUCUGUAACUUGAGCAUGAGCUGGCAACAUUUGGGAUGCAGACACUGAUGUCUCACAACUCUAGGCAAGGAAGAUGCUCCAGACCAGCAACUAUAGCCUGGUGCUCUCCUUGCAGUUCUUGCUGCUGUUCUAUGACCUCUUUGUCAACUCCUUCUCAGAACUGCUGCGUAUGGCCCCUGUCAUCCAGCUUGUGCUCUUCAUCAUUCAGGAUAUUGCCAUCCUCUUCAAUGUCAUCAUCAUCUUCCUUAUGUUCUUCAAUACCUUCAUCUUUCAGGCUGGCCUGGUUAAUCUUCUAUUCCACAAAUUUAAAGGCACCAUUGUUUUGUCAGCAGCAUACCUUGCUUUGAGCAUAUCUUUCCACAUCUGGGUCAUGAACCUUCGCUGGAAAAAUUCUCACUACUUUGUGUGGACAGAUGGGUUGCAAGCCCUCUUUGUUUUCCAGAGGCUGGAUCGCCAGCUCUCUUCAACCCCUCUGGAAAUUCUGCUGUUCCUCAAUGGCUGGUAUUAUGCUACUUAUUUCUUGCUGGAAAUCUUCAUAUUUGUUUAUAAAGGACUCCUGUUGCCCUACCCUUCUGCUAAUCUGGCUUUGGACCUGAUUAUGCUUUUCCUCUAUCUUGGAAUUGAAGUCACCAGAAUUUUUUUUGGCUCAAAAGGGAACCUCUGUCAGCGGAAAGUGCCACUUGCCAUCAGCCUGGCACUAACCUUUCCAGCAGCAGUGAUGGCAGCCUAUUAUCUGCUACUGCAGACCUAUGCUCUGCGUCUGGAAGCCAUCCUCAACGCUAUCCUGCUCCUCUUCUAUGCUGUUGAGCUGUUGCUGGGAAUACUCACCCUGGCUGCCUUCUCCAGUUUGGACUCCUACUGAGAAGCUGCCUGUGUGGAACUGUUUGUUUUUCACAAAUGGACAUCCCAGGAUGGCUUACAACAAUAAAUCAAUCACAACAAGGUACAAUACUGAGCAAGACAAUGUUGAAACCUAAUUAAAAAGAUUAAAUAGUAAAAUAAUGGGCAAAUAAAAAGGGUUUUGUCUGGCGCCGAAAAGAAUAUAAUGUUGGCGCCAGGCAAACCUCUCUGGGAACAUGGCCUGGGAGUGCACAGGACUAUUCAGAAACCCAGCUCCAAAGUCCUGCAACUUUGGUGUUAGAUCUCCAAAGCCUGAGCCCCCAUCCCAGUUCCCUGGCAGGUGAAACCAUGUCAGCUGCCUCUUGAGUGCAAGCUGGCCUUGGAGAGGAGGAAAGGGGGCAUGCCAGGUGGGUUGGGAGGAGAGCAUACCGGGCUUAUGCUGAUUCUCAUCAGCACCUCCGCCUCCUCCUCACCUGCUUCAUCUAGAUGGCUAAAAGCCCACCUGGGUGACCUGCAGGGGGUGUGGUACAGCAGAGGUGACGACUGUCGCCACACCUUGCUGCAUGCAUGAGGGAAGUGGGGCACAGACAUGCACCCCUGGUCUCUCCAUUUCGGCUGCACUUGUCAUGAGACACGUGUUUUUCAGCCAUGCUACCUUCUCUCUCCAAAGGACAAGGAGGAGGCCGCUAGAAACCUAAACAAACAAUGCCUGCCCCAUCUCUCCCUCGAGAGGAAGGUUUGGCGACUUCUGGGUUCUGACGGCAAACAGGAAACCCCGGACACUCCAGCUGGUGAUCCCUCUCUAGGGCAUGGCACUGGAGGAGGCUGGCCCUUGCGUGAAGCUGGAUGCGGCAGGUCAGGGAGUGAGGGAAGUGGCAGGGAGGCGCUGGAAGCCAGAGCCGAAUGUGGGUGGCCCUCAGGCGUGGGGACAGCAGCCAGCGCUGGAGCCAGCAUGGUUCACUGGCCAGUCAGGCCGGUUUCCAUGUGUGGAGGCGGGAUGGGCAACGUGUGCUCCUCCAUCUCAGACAACCUGGGUGGCCCUGUGUGGGAAGGCCUUUGGGUCGGUUUCUCAUGUUUCACGUUAAUGGCCAGGAUGAGUCUGGGAUACUUGCCCCUGUGCACCAUCAUCUUUCCAACAUGAUGGCUUUCAAGAAGGAAUGGGACAUAACUCUUUUCUUCAUUUAACUCAGGCUGGCAAACGAGAAAGAACCGCCCUGGAUUCCUAUUGCAUCCUCCCACAACCCUCUGAGUUUCUAGUGCUCUGGACGUCUCUGAACCUGUUUCAACUUACUGACUCCCUCUUAGAGCACGGUGCAAGGAAUUAAACACAGUACUGGAGUUUCCUGAACAGGUGGGAUGGCCAUGAGUGUUCCCUCUUGCCAGACCAGAUCAGUGUCAGACGCGUCACCACCACAAACGCAGCACAAAUCUAAUCAUGCUGCCUGCCCCCAACUCACCUGGCCUGCAGCACAUGAACUUGUUGGUAGAAGAGGAGCGCAGUGAGACCUGGGCAGGGCUGGAUUCCAUGGAGAAGAGUUCAUCCCGUCCAGUUACCCAAGCUAAUGAUGCUCUUAAGGAAAUCAAAACAUGUGCCAUCGACAGGGACUUCUUGGGUAAACAGAAUUUGAAUUCACCUGGCUGAAGCCCUGUGCAAAGGAAGAAGAGUCAAGUGGGACAAUUCUUCCAACCUACCUCUGAAAUCAUAGUAGAUGGUGAUGACUGAUUCAGCCCCCCAGGGCACGUCACGAUCACAACGCAGCACCCCAGCCUUCUCGU